UUCUGAACAAGUUUUCAGCAAUGUUAUCCUUACAGGAAUGAGAAAGGGGAUGGUUAUGCUUAAUCAGAAGGAGGCUCUGUAAAACAAUGCAGUACCCGUUACUGUAUUUUCCUGUUUCAGACUAGCAGGCAUUGGAGAAGGUGAAGUCACGUUUCUGUGGUACAUUAUUCCCGGUGCAGAACAGCUACAACUCCGAUUGUUAUUUGGUUUUAAGUCAAGCAGAGUCUGAAAAUAAAUAUAGCUUGUCUUUACAAUUUUGUAAAGUAGAACUGUAAGUAAUGAAAGGACAUUUGGCUUUCAUCAUUUUUCUGGUUUCAGGCCUGCCAUUUUUCGGAUAUUCCCAGAUGUGGUACAAUCAUAACAACCAGCCUAACUGCCUAGCUGAUCGUUUACAAAAAGUCCGGGAUGGUUGUGUUCAUGAUGUGCAUAAACAAUACGAAGAAAACUAUA